GUUGUCUCUCCUUUUUCUUAUAUCACUUGUGUUUUACAACUUUGAGUAUUCACGGUACAAACAGAUGUUUGAUCUCACGUGUGUUUUCUACUUUCAGAUAUUAUCUAGACGGACAUAGGAAACGGAGGAACUAGAGAAUUUCCUAGAAGAGAGUACACGAUAAUAUCCUAGAUGGUGAAAUGGGCGACCUCGGGUCUAUGCCUUGAAUGUAAUUUGAAUGUUUUAGAAUACUAUAAUAAAUUAAGCCUGUUUCAACCUAACUAUUGCAUCAAUCUUUCAUCUCACCUAAAUCGUACGAAUAAAGAUGUAACAAUAGCAUAAUUUGAAUAAAGUAAAUUUGUCAUUCA